GUGCUUAACUGCCUGAGGGCAGCAGUGUGAUUCAAAUUUUGGAGAAUCCUCUCUGUUCUCUAAAAAGCACUUUUGAUACUUGGCUGAACUCCAGUUCUACUUUGGAGCAUCAAAUGGAGCUGAGGGGAAGAAGCAGGGGCAGGAAAAGAAACAGAGCUUUGAAAGGUGAGUUCUGCCAUUCAACCCUGUGUGCCUCAAGCAUUAGCCCCCACCUCUCCCUACCCUGAGGGCCCAGGUCCAUGGACUCCGAGGAGGCCAGUGGCAGUACCUGUCACUCAGGGAGACUCCUGGGAUGAAGAGCAGAACACAGAUACUUCUGAGAUUCCAUGUAGAGAAUGAAGCCGCGAGGGGCCUGGAAAAGGGGUGUGGCCGAGCAGGAGCCUUCAGCAUUGAACCAAUAGCGCCUAGACUGGGAGCUGGGACUCCAGGUCCAACUAUGGACAAAUUGUUGCAGUUGUGUUUUAAUUGGAGUAUGAUUGCUUUACAAUGUUGCGUUAGUUUCUGCUGUACAAUGAAGUGAAUCAGCUGGAUAUAUACACACAGACCCUCCCACUUGGACCUCUCUCCCACUCCAUCCCCAUCACACCCACCUACGUCACCGUAGAGCAUUGAACUGAGCUCUCUGGGCUCUAUGCAGGUUCCCACUGUCUAUCUAUUCUGCGCAUGGUAGUGUAGGUACAUGAAACCUAAUCUCCCAAUUCACCCCACCCUCCCCUUCACCACCCUCUGUGUCCACAUGGCUCAGUCUCUAGUUCUGCAUCUGUAUCCCUGCCCUGGAACUAGAUUCACCUGUAACAUUUUUUCUAGAUUGGCCAUCAUCAAAAAAUCUACAAAUAGUAAGUGAAGAAGAAGGUGUGGGGAAAAAAGGGAACCCUUUUGCACUGUUGGUGGGAACGUAAAGUGAUACAGCCACUUCAGAGAACAGCAUGGAGGUACCUUAAAAAACUAAAAAUAGAACUACCACGUGACUCAGGAAUACCACUACUGGACAUAUAACCUAAGAAAAGCAUAAUUCAAAAAAGACACAAGUACCCCAGUGUUCAUGGCAACACUGUUUACUAUAGCCAGGUCAUGGGAACAACGGUGCUCAUGAACAGAUGAAUGGAUAAAGAAGAUGCGGUACUUGUAUACAAUGGAAUAUUACUCUGCAUAAAAAGAGACAAGGUGUUUAACUCUGCUAAGAUUCAUCAGCAAUGUGACCCCUGCCCACUCCCCUCCAUAUCAGGGUUGUAAGGACAGCAAAGGGUAAUGGUUAUGGAAGCACUUUGUAAAUGAUAAACCCUUUCAUCAACUUCACCAUCACUGUCAGGGAUCAUGUGUCCUUGGGCUCCAAUCUCCCAAUUGUGUCCCCUUAAAAGGACACUGCACUUAACUUCCUGUAAGACCCCUAGACCCCUGCCUUCACCACCAUGACCCAGUCUGCUGAUUUCUAGCUUUGUAGACACUACCAGGAAGAGCUGGAAGAGAUUUGGGACCUGACUUCACCUCUGCACAGGUAAAGAAUCUUCCCCUUUUCUCCUGGGUUCUUCUUCCCAGAUCCUAUACAGGCCGUGUGGGGCUGAGCUGGGAGGGAGAGCCCUGGGGGUAGGGUAUUGAUCAAGUCCUGGGGUAAGGACAGAAGGAGCAUUGUAAAGUCACCAUGGGGGCCAGGGAGGGCUGUGGGCUGCAGGUGCCCACCCCAGCCUGGCCUGCCCAGCCCUCCUGGCACUGGAGGCUCCUGGUUGCAGCUUGCUCCUCAAGUCUCCUGCAGCCACCUGGGGAGGUUCCUUCAGAAAGGCAGCUUUCAUCACCUCUUGUCAAGUGCCCCCUUGCAAGAGUGUAAAGCAGCACCUACUAGAGCCCAUCAGCCAUGCAGGGAAGAGGCUCCGCCCACCAUGUCCCCAGCUCCUCUGACCAAGAAGCCUCUAACUCAGGCCUCCACCUGUUCUCCAGGAUCAGGGACCUCUGUUCAGUCAUGUUAAUCCCUGAGUGCCUCGCCAACACCAGAGACUUUCCUUCCCCUGGACAGACUUUCAUCCUGGCCACUUGCUGUUUCCUUUCCCCACCAUGCUCCCCUGAUGAGACUCCAUGCUGAGUCUCACUCAGGGUGACUCCAUGGCACUCCCACUCAGUACCAUUCCAUGCAGCUUAUCUCUACACUCCCCUUGGAGACCAGCCAUCUCAGUACUUGUGUGUUCAAGCUGUGCCAUUUCAGGCCUGUCUAGUUGGCACCCUGAGUCAAAAAGAAAGCUGUGUCCAGGCAGAAAGCAUCCAGAAGAAGUCUCAGGAGUUCUUAUGGGCAGGAAGGCACAAGAGAUGCAGAGGGUCGGUUCCCUGUAGAAAGUCCUCUGUAGGAAGCUUGCUGAAAUCCACAUAUUAGACUUUCCUGGAGACUCAAAUGUUCAUGAGGAAACAGAAAAUCCAAACUCCUCUCAAGGUGGGGAAACCUCCAUGAACACCUCCCAUGAAUCUCUUGUCCUCAAAUCCUUAUAUUCAACAAGAGUUGGAAGCACAUAUAAUGUUUCAAGUGAUCUUUCCAGGUGGUGCUAGUGGUGAAGAACCCACCUGCCAAUGCAGGAGACAUAAGACACGGGUUCAAUCCCUGGGCCGGAAAGAUCCCCUGGAGGAGGAAAUAGCAAUCCACUCCAGUAUUCUUCCUUGGAGAAGCCUCAUGGACAGAGGAGUCUGGCAGGCUACAGUCCAUGGGGUAGCAAAGAGUCAGACACAACUAAAGCGACUUAGCACACACAGGUGAGGUACAGGUGGGGAGUACCUCUAGAGUUACUCAAGUUCAUACUUAGCUUAAAGUUGAAAAAGGCUCGAGUGCACCUUGAAAGUCACCUAUGACUCUGGGGACCAUUCAAAAUCCCAGUUAACCAAGUUUUUGGAAAAGCCCCUCCAAGCUCAUCUGAGAGAGAAAGUGAUAAUAACAAGGGCAAUUUCCCCUCUGAAGAGUCUCUUUCCUGCCCCCUCAUGGGAGAGUGAAGAAACCCCGGGGCCCCUGGGAGGACCCCCACCUGGUGACACCCAUAAGCCCUCAGAGGUCCCUCUGACUGGACAGGAAGACAAGCCACCCUCACAGGCCCCCUCAUACCACUCUGUGGGCAGAGUCUGUGACAGUGAGUUUGUGGUGGGGACUGACAAAGGCAGCCUGGAGCCCAGCCAAGUCCGGCAUUGGCUGGGAAUGAACCACAGGAAGAAGCUGGCCGGCAGGCCUCCCCAGACUCCUGCUCUAUCAUGACAGUCAGAUCUCGACACAUGGUCCCAAUCUUUCAGGGCCCAAGAGGUCAUGGAGGGGGAUCCUGCUCGGAAAAGUACUUUCAAACCUAGUGUGCUGAUUAAAUUCCAAAUCUGCAAUAUGGAUCUGAGGAGAUCAUGGUCCCAAAGGCCCAUAAAAGCCCCUCGUUGAACGGAGCCCACAGCCUCAAGUCCAGAAGAUCGACACUUUGAGGCCUGGUGUUGUAAAGCCUGAGUUCCAAGGGUUCAGAGACCGGCAGAAACAGGCUCAAGGCUGCGUCACUGCUUGCUGCUUCAAGAUGGCGCCACCGAGACGUUUCUCGGACUGUGACUCAGAUGUUUUCAUUGCCCCAAACAUCUUGGUUUCUCAGGAAUCUCUGUCUGGCUUCCAGCCCUUGUCCUGUGGAGACUCAUCCAAUUCCCAGAUGCUCCAUGACCUUGAGUGGAGGGAAUAGGCAUGGCCAGCAGGAGGCCCUGAGACAGCAGCCUGAGCAAGACGUUUGUCCCCACUGCCGGGAGACUUACAGGAGGCCCAAACUAGGACAGCAUGAAAGGCUGGCAGUACGGGAGGGCCAGCCAGGCCUGCUAGAGAGCAGGACUGCUGAGGCCUAGGCUCUUGGGACAGCUGUUGGACGGAUCCUAAGGGAGAAGAUGGCACUUCACUGUGGACCUCAUGCCUCCGAGUUUAACUGGUUCAAAGGAAAACUCUGGGCCCCAUUAGUUCUGCGUUACUGCUGCCACAGGUUUCUCUCGACCAAGUUAAGAGUGAGGCAAUAUACAUGCCGGGAUGACCAAGCUACCCCAUGGGUCAUGGCUGCCCUAGGGACAGCAGGCGGACCUUCCCAUCCAGGGAGCCAGGUUCCCCCCACCCCCACCCCCACCAGGCAGAACCUUCAUCAUGGAUCAAGAGUGACAGGUGUCCCAGGCCAUCCUCUCCACUGUCCAAGGUACUACCUCUUUUAGAAACAGACCUCUUUUGGUCAAUCAGAACAUGCCUGUCACAGCUUUCCUGGUAGAAAAACUCAUCUCCAAGAAAAAAACGCAUACCAUGCAGCUAAAAACUUUUUCUUUCAUGUUAGCACAUCCUCUGUGUGCUAAUGGCUUCUUCCUACCACGAAGUUUACUGUUUCCUGG
ensembl:lncRNA